CCAGACUCCUACGGGAGGCAGCAGUGAGGAAUAUUGGUCAAUGGGCGGAGGCCUGAACCAGCCAAGUCGCGUGAGGGAAGAAGGCCCUGCGGGUCGCAGACCUCUUUGGACGGGGAGCAAGGCCGCCGACGUGUCGGCGGAAGGAGAGUACCUGUAGAACAAGCAUCGGCUAACUCCGUGCCAGCAGCCGCGGUAAUACGGAGGAUGCGAGCGUUAUCCGGAAUCAUUGGGCGUAAAGCGUUCGUAGGCGGUAAAGUAAGUCAGAUGUUAAAGCCCGGGGCUCAACUCCGGUUCGGCAUUUGAUACUACUUGACUAGAAUGCGGUAGAGGUAAAGGGAAUUCCUGGUGUAGCGGUGAAAUGCGUAGAUAUCAGGAGGAACAUCGGUGGCGAAAGCGCUUUACUGGGCCGUUAUUGACGCUGAGGAACGAAAGCCAGGGUAGCAAACGGGAUUAGAUACCCCUGUAC
rnacentral:rRNA from 1 species